GAAUGGAUUGCUGACUGAACCCCAAACCCAGUAAGUGCUUAACAAUGAGGUCUGCCCACAGCACACAGCAGUUGUAACAGAUAGAGCUGAGGAAGGAAGGGGAAAGAAAUCAUCUAUAUUUAUUUCAGGUGUAUUCAGUCCAGGAAGACUUCCCAGAGACACUAUAAGUUAUGGCUGGCAUUGAAGACUGAAGGAGAAAGAGCUGAGGGAACUCACAUACAGAUGAUGCUAGAUGCUCGUGUACUUCUCUACUGUGCCUCCUGCUGGCAUGGGAACAAGUGGCAGCCCAGCCAGUCUCCCCAUGAUGAGCAAAGCAACUGGAGUCCUGGCUUCUGGCAGACAAUGUUAACGACAAUUGACGGGAGGCUCCAAACCCAGGUUUACUGAGAGGUAAGAUCACAGACAUCUUUAGCACGGCUACCUCAACCCAUAUGGGCACAGGAAGUUCAACAGGCCACCCAGGAGGUAAGGCAUCUGUGGUAUUCACACAUGUCCUUCUUCUCACAUGUAACCACCUUUUCUGAAAAUUCUUUCCCAGUGCCUAAUGUUUACCUUCCAAUUUCCAGCACAAAUGAGAUGAAUAGCAAUGACAAAGACUCUCUUUGAACUUUAGUUGGGCUCCUCUGAGCCCAUUUCUCAAGUAGGCCUCGACCUUGGCUUUUGUGUCCUUCCUCGGGGAGCCUAGUUUUAGAAAGAAUCCUGCUACAUCAACUCCCAAACCUUGAUAUCUGAUCACCCAAGCUCCCCAUCUCUGCCCCUGAUGACAUUUAGUCCUUUCUUGUCCUUAACAAGAGCAAUGCCAGGCCAGUUU
rnacentral:lncRNA from 1 species